UGAACCUGUAUGCUGGGAUUCAAUGCCUGCUCUAGUUCUUGUAUUUCUCUUCUGACCAGAGGAAAACAAUACUGUUAAUUGCUUCAUUUGAAGCUUUGGACUAGAGAAAGGGCAGCUUGAUGUGAAAAAGAUAAAGCAUAAAGCAGUUCCACCUGAGCCCAUUUAGAUCACAGAUAGCUCAUCAGGCUUUGUUACCAAAGUGUCUGUGGUCAUCACAAGGCUGGUGGAGGAGUAU
rnacentral:lncRNA from 1 species